rnacentral:rRNA from 1 species
GACGAACGCUGGCGGCGUGCUUAACACAUGCAAGUCGAGCGGGGAUUGAAGAAGUGCUUGCACGGAAUCAAUUCUAGCGGCGGACGGGUGAGUAACGCGUGAACAAUCUGUCCCAGACAGUGGGAUAACAGAUGGAAACAUCUGCUAAUACCGCAUAAGACCACAGGAUCACAUGGUCCAGGGGUAAAAGAUUUAUCGGUCUGGGGUGAGUUCGCGUCCGAUUAGCUAGUUGGUGAGGUAACGGCCCACCAAGGCGACGAUCGGUAGCCGACCUGAGAGGGUGAUCGGCCACAUUGGAACUGAGACACGGUCCAA